CCUUUUUAAAGUGACGGAUGGCUUCCUUCGAUGUAUGCUCUCUUCGCCGCCUCUGCCCGCCGCCGCCCUCGGUCUUCUUCUCCGGCCGUCCGCCGCCGCCCGCCGGUCUUCUUCUCCAGCCGUCCGCCGUCCGUCCUCCUUCCCCUCCACAUCUGCCCCUAAUCUUCUUCGGCGCCACCCACAGCCUCAUCAAUCUCCAACCUCUUGUUCCCGUGCUUCUCUGAUUUGGAUCGAGAUGGGAGUCCUGGAUCGAGUUAGGGUCUGUGUUCUUCUCCAACACAAAGCCAUGGAGUGACCGACCCGGAUUUGACUUGGCUAUCAUAAGAAGGAAGGGUCCUCGACCGGAAUCUGCCCCAGGCAGGACCUCAAUGGCGACCUGCAGGCCCGGCCUCUGUCUCUUUCGACUCCCUCUUUUUGCGACCUCAAGAAGCUGCGGCGGCUCAUCCUCGAGGCCAAGCUCGUGCAAUUCCGACGACUCCAGGCCCAAUUUAUUUCCUGCUCUAUCGGGUCCAAGUGAUGCGCCAAGGGGAUUUGCAACAGCUUUCAGGAUUGUUCAGUUGCAUGCUAAGAAAAAAAAUAGGUCUGAGGGGAACCACUUCUUUGGCGUGUUGCUCCAGUAGUUCAUGAUGAUGAGAGUCCAUGCCAGCGCAACUCUUGCAAUUCUCUGAACUCUUUCUGAAUUAUACUGCAAGAUUCGGUUAUAGUGUGGCCUUCAAAUCAGAGCUACAAUAUUGCCUUUGUAGCUGCAUGGUGGGUAUCAGUUUUUGUUAUCACUGAUCUUCCCAAACUGAAGCUUAGAGAGAUCAAAAUGUUACAUGCUGUAGGGCCAGGAGUGAACUAAACUCGUCCGACAGUGUUCUACGGUUCGCCGCAACUUCGUAGGCCGGUUUUCCACUUGAUGUAUGUAGACAAGGAGGAUUGAAUUCAUGGGCUGAAGGUUUUACUCGAAGUCGUGUUAUAUUGGAGUUAGCGCCUAAAAAAAUGACAGUGUAUCUCCUGGGGGAGGAGGUGGGAGAGAUGUAGCAGGUAGAAGAUGGACCGUGGAUAAGAAAGAGGAAGGGAUAAAGUGUCAAUCAGCAAUGAAAACUUUAGUAUUUGUGAUGUAAAUUUGAAUGCUAAAGUUUGAAUUUUUUUCCUUGGUCUUAAUUUCUUUCUUUCAAAUGCAAGUGGAUUAAUCUGCAUAAAAUUUAAUACUAUGUUGUAUUCAGCUUUAUUUAGAUUUACCUUCCACUCAUAGGUUGGAGUCUAGAGUUUAUGCAUACCGUUGCAUGAGCAUUGUUGCAUCAUGGUCAAUUCUCUUGGACAGAUAGCUGAGGCCAUUGCAUAAUUUCAGAGGAGUAUGAUGCUGCUUUGGAAGGAGGCUUUUCUCAAUCUGUGCUGCUUUCGGGGCGAGGCUGGGCCACGUCCACACUAUUGUCGCUCGCCUGCCUGGGCCUGGGACGUGUUAUUGAAGCCUUCACCAUGCUACAGAGGACAGUCCUGAAGCUCAGUGUUAGAAGACAAGUUGGCUUCGUAUAUUGGUGAAAUCUCAACCCAUGUUCUUCAGUUGGCUUCAUAUAUUGGAUGUUGACGCUUCGCUUGCUUCUGAUAAGAAUGCUUGGAAAGAUGUGAUGAAAAAUGGAAAACUUCUGUAGUUUUACAAGACAAGUAAGCGCCUAUGACUUGCAGUCAUCUCCUUUCCUAUCCAGCACAACGCAAGUGCGCAUGACAGCUAACACAGCAAACACCCACCAAGCAAGCACACGUACGCAGCAGUAGCAUGUAGCAAGCUAUCACACACGCGCCCGACACAACAGCCGACUCGGCAAAAGCACCCUGCUGGACUGGACGACCACGGCGUGCGUGGGCUGAGGCCUCGCCGAAGGAGGGCGCUUGCGGUGUCUGCAUGUUCGGCCUUGCUGCACUCCAGAAUAGUCACAUCACGGCGCGCUGCAGUAGGGCAACGAUUCUGUAAGAGGUAAAUAGGGGUUUGGGGCGCUAUUGUCCAAGAUUGUGCUACCAAGGAUUGUGGAUCUUAACUAAUUAGACUAUUCAUUUGUAAUCUUAAUCUAUAAAAAGAAAGUAAGGUUGUAUUGUAUUUAGCACUCUUGUGAUAAGAAUGCUUUUUUGUUGUUGUUCUUAUUAAAACAUUGGCGUGCAGCAGCCAUAGAUAAUGUGAUUACUAUAUGCUUUAGUUCAAAA